GAAGGUGCGCCUGUUAAGAAAUUGCAGCUAUUCAACACAACAUAUUCUUUCAUGGAUGGCAUGCAGAUUUUACUCUAGUAGAAAUAGGUACGGGCUGAAUCCGCCGCUCGUGACUUCGCCGAUGUUGUUGCCUCCUUCAUCUUGAAUCUCACUAUGGCUUCUAGGAGGUGGACCGGAAGAAAACAACCCGACACGCCGAAUCUUAGGACCUUCUUCAAGUUGUUUCAGUAUGAAUUCAGCUCCAAGAAAACCACCUUCUGCUCUCCUUCUCUUCCCUAUGGCC